CGCACUAGAGGAAGAGAAGUAUCGCGGUUUCCAAGUUCCGAAGAAUUUAAAGUAUUUCUACAAAAGUGAAACGUGUUCCUUCAAAGUUUGCAGAAGAUAGCUGCCUAUUUCGGUCAGUGCGUCUGACAAUUUUGCGAUUCUCUCCAUUUGCCGGAGCAGAUAUAGAGACAAAGAAAGCGCGUAGGCGCUUUUUUUGUACGGGCUGGAAUUGUGUAACGACCAGCGGAGUCGAAUUGGGGUUCCGUCCUUUUUGCUGUGGGUCGCGGUGCGACCAAAUUGAGCUUGUGUGUCCGCUAAGGCCCGCCUUCCGAGGUAGUCAAACGGAGGGGAGUGAAGUUCGUUUAGUUAGUCGAGCGAAACUCACCCGACAGUCGCCUAAAACUGUCGAUAAGACCACCAUUUCGCUACAACCCCCCUGGUGGUCAGGUGUCGAGAGCGCGGUUCCCGUACGUCACCAAUUAUCGUACGCUGAACCGAACCCGAACCGAGAAUUAGUAGCUUUCUUUUAGUCCUCGCCCGGUGAAUCGGAAAGGUACGUGAAGCCGGGUCGUAAGGGAAAGCGGGCUACUAGUUUGAGGGAACGGUCAUUCCGGACGCUCUCGACGGUUUCAAAGCGGAAGCCUUCCGUCCAGCCGCCACUCCCUCCGCACCUUUAGUUCGGCCAUUUUGACACAAGCUCACGCCGCCAUCGUGUGGAGCUUCGAACGCCCACUGGCAAGCCGCUGGUACCACGACGCCAUCGCGACAACUGCGUCACCAGCACCGCCGGAAGAACCAUCGUCUUCGGCACACCGCCGGAAGAACCUUCGUCUUCGGCACACCGCCGGAAGAUCCUUCGUCUUCGGCACACCGCCGGAAGAACCUUCGUCUUCGGCACACCGCCGGAAGAACCUCCGUCUUGGGGCACACCGCCGGAAAACCUUCGUCUUCGGCGUCCCGCCGGAAAACAUCGUCUUCGGCACCCUGCCGGAAAGCCCUCCGUCUUCGGCACCCGCCGGAACCCGUCAUCGCUACUAAAAAUCCUGCGCAGGUACGUGGAAACUUGAAUAAUCAUGGCCAUGAAUUAGUUUCCCCCUAGCUAGUACAAAACCCCGUCCAACCCGAAUGAAGUCGUAUUAAUAAAUUUGUUGAAUUUGAAGCUCUGAGAGUCAAUUGAUUUUGUUUCGGCAGUUCCGUGAGAACCUGCUGUUCUCUUUUACGUUUCCGUUAUUUCGUUGGUAGAUUGCAUCUCAGACUUCGAUUCCUCUUUUGAUUUUGCGUUUAUUGUUGAGCGAGCUUAAGUGAUUACAAGGGUAAUCAGGGCAAAGGAUUUUAGGGUGGUUUUCCAGGUAACAGCGGGUGAUUUUGAAAAUUCAGCCAGCAACCGUUCGAGGAUUUCCCCUGAGGAAUUGUCUCAAAAAUAGUCGGGCAAGUCAACAGACUGGUGGUCUCUCGUACGCGAGAGUGGCGCUAAAGCCACCAAAGUUUAAA